AGAUCCUGAAACCGUGUGCCUACAAGUAGUCAGAGCCCGUUAAAGGGUGAUGGCGUGCCUUUUGUAGAAUGAACCGGCGAGUUACGAUCCCGUGCAAGGUUAAGCAGAAGAUGCGGAGCCGCAGCGAAAGCGAGUCUGAAUAGGGCGCAUGAGUACGUGGUCGUAGACCCGAAACCAGGUGAUCUACCCAUGUCCAGGGUGAAGUUCAGGUAACACUGAAUGGAGGCCCGAACCCACGCACGUUGAAAAGUGCGGGGAUGAGGUGUGGGUAGGGGUGAAAUGCCAAUCGAACCUGGAGAUAGCUGGUUCUCUCCGAAAUAGCUUUAGGGCUAGCCUCAAGGUAAGAGUCUCGGAGGUAGAGCACUGAUUGGACUAGGGGCCCCUACCGGGUUACCGAAUUCAGUCAAACUCCGAAUGCCGAUGACUUAUCCUUGGGAGUCAGACUGCGAGUGAUAAGA
rnacentral:rRNA from 1 species